rnacentral:rRNA from 1 species
AUUGAACGCUGGCGGAAUGCUUUACACAUGCAAGUCGGGCGGCAGCGCGGGGGCAACCCUGGCGGCGAGCGGCGAACGGGUGAGUAACACAUCGGAACGUACCCUGUCGUGGGGGAUAACGAAUCGAAAGAUUCGCUAAUACCGCAUACGACCUGAGGGUGAAAGCGGGGGAUCGCAAGACCUCGCGCGAGAGGAGCGGCCGAUGGCGGAUUAGCUAGUUGGUGGGGUAAUGGCCUACCAAGGCGACGAUCAGUAGCUGGUCUGAGAGGAUGGCCAGCCACACUGGGACUGAGACACGGCCCAGACUCCUACGGGAGGCAGCAGUGGGGAAUUUUGGACAAUGGGCGCAAGCCUGAUCCAGCAAUGCCGCGUGAGUGAAGAAGG